rnacentral:lncRNA from 1 species
GCUCAGUAAGCCAACAGCAGUGCUCCAGGCUGGUGCAGCUCUGUGGGCAGCCAGCCUAGCCGUGCCUUGCUGCUGGCACAGAAGCGACUCGAGCCAGCACGUCAAAUCCCAGCCCAUGUUGCAGGUGAACUGAGCUGCUUGAGCAAAGCACUCGUCACAGCAGGCACUUUUUCUCACUUUUCUUCCAGACCCCAGCCCAGAGUGGAGCACAUGCCCUUUAUAUGCUUAAAGCACGCAAGAGGAUUCCUCACUACACAAAUGGCAAGGAGCUACAGCAGAGGUGUAAUGUGAGCAGCUGUAAUAAAAGUUUUAAGCUGCCUGGGAAGAGCA